GACGAACGCUGGCGGCGUGCUUAACACAUGCAAGUCGAGCGGAGCGGCGAACGGGUGAGUAACGCGGGAGUAACUGACCCCCUCUCAGGGAUAACAGUUGGAAACGGCAGCUAAUACCGGAUAGCGGGGGCGGACUCGGGUCCUAGCAGCUUGUUGGCGGGGUAUGGGCCGACAAAGGGGACGACGGGUAGCCGGCCUGAGAGGGCGACCGGCCACAUUGGGCUGAGAUACGGCCCAAACUCCUACGGGAGGCAGCAGUGGGGAAUAUUGCACAAUGGGGGAAACCCGGAGGCAGCAACGCCGCGUGCGGGAUGACGGCCUUCGGGUUGUAAACCGCUUUCAGCCAUGACGCGGUAGUGGCAGAAGAAGCACCGGCUAACUACGUGCCAGCAGCCGCGGUAAUUC
rnacentral:rRNA from 1 species